rnacentral:rRNA from 1 species
AGAGCACAGGGUGGAUGCCUAGGCACUGAGAGCCGAUGAAGGACGUGAUAAGCUGCGAAAAGCCACGGGGAGGAGCAAAUAUCCUUUGAGCCGUGGAUAUCCGAAUGGGGGAACCCACUUAAGUAAACCUUAAGUACUGACAAGCCAAUACAUAACUUGCCAGAGGGAACCCGGGGAACUGAAACAUCUAAGUACCCGGAGGAAGAGAAAGAAACAUCGAUUUCCUUAGUAGCGGCGAGCGAAAGGGAAAGAGCCCAAACCGAGAGAUUUAUCUUUCGGGGUUAGGACUGCAUAAUUGAUCUGCGAUUGAUAGGAGAAUGGUCUGGGAAGUCCAGCAGGAAAGCGUGAAAGCCGCGUAUCCGAAAUUGAAAGCAGCAAGGCAGUAUCCAGAGUACCACGAGACACGAGGAACCUUGUGGGAAUGAGCGGAGACCACUCCGUAAGGCUAAAUACUACUCAGUGACCGAUAGCGCAUAGUACUGUGAAGGAAAGGUGAAAAGGACCCCGGGAGGGGAGUGAAAGAGAACCUGAAACCCUGUGUUUACAAGCUGUCGGAGCACGAUAAGUGCGACGGCGUACUUUUUGUAGAACGGUCCGGCGAGUUAUGAUACGCGGUAAGGUUAAGGACUUAAGGUCCGGAGCCGAAGCGAAAGCGAGUGUUAAGAGCACGAGGAAUCACGUAUCAUAGACCCGAAACCGGGUGAUCUAUCCAUGUCCAGGAUGAAGCUGCCGUAAGAGGUAGUGGAGGUCCGAACACACAUCCGUUGAAAAGGGUGGUGAUGAGGUGUGGAUAGGGGAGAAAUUCCAAUCGAACCCGGAGAUAGCUGGUUCUCCUCGAAAUAGCUUUAGGGCUAGCCUUCAGUUAGUCUGCCGCAGGUAGAGCACUGAAUUUCCUAGGGGGCGUCAAAGCCUACCGAAGAAUAUCAAACUGCGAAUGGCGGACAGAUGAUGCUGGGGAGUCAGACUGCACGAGAUAAGUUGGGUGGUCAAAAGGGAAAGAGCCCAGACCUACAGCUAAGGUCCCAAAGUGCGUGUUAAGUGGAAAAGGAUGUGGGAUUUCGAAGACAACUAGGAUGUUGGCUCAGAAGCAGCCACACAUUAAAAGAGUGCGUAAUAGCUCACUAGUCGAGAGGUCCUGCGCCGAAAAUGUCCGGGGCUGAAACACGACACCGAAGCUUAGGAACAAAGAAACCAAGGUUUCUAUAUGUUGGUAGAGGAGCAUUGUUAGCGGAACGAAGCCAUACCGGAAGGAGUGGUGGACUGCUAAGAAGAGAGAAUGCCGGAAUGAGUAGCGAGAUUGAAGUGAGAAUCUUCAAGGCCGAAUAUCUAAGGUUUCCAGGGUAAAGCUGAUCUGCCCUGGGUAAGUCGGGGCCUAAGGCGAGGUCGAAAGACGUAGCCGAUGGACAACAGGUUGAAAUUCCUGUACUGCGAUAUAUCAGAAAUGUGGGGACACAGAAGGAAAGUGUGAGCCGGGAAAGGAAAGACCGGUGCAAGCACAGGAGGAGAGAUACAGGCAAAUCCGUAUUUCAAUCCAAUGGUGUUACGCGGAGCGAACAAAAGUAGCGAAGCACACAGACCAUCUGUCGAGAAAAGCCGCUAUUGUGUAUACCGUACCCGUACCGUAAACCGACACAGGUGGAUGAGGAGAGAAUCCUAAGGCCGGCGGGAGAAGCAUUGUUAAGGAACUCGGCAAAAUGACCCCGUAACUUCGGGAGAAGGGGUGCUCUUAGAAAUAAGAGCCGCAGAGAAUUGGCCCAAGCAACUGUUUAGCAAAAACACAGGUCUAUGCAAAACCGAAAGGUGAGGUAUAUGGGCUGACGCCUGCCCGGUGCUGGAAGGUUAAGGGGAGAGGUUAGCGCAAGCGAAGCUUUGAACUUAAGCCCCAGUAAACGGCGGCCGUAACUAUAACGGUCCUAAGGUAGCGAAAUUCCUUGUCGGGUAAGUUCCGACCCGCACGAAAGGCGUAAUGAUUUGGGCACUGUCUCAACAAUGCACCCGGUGAAAUUGAAAUACCAGUGAAGAUGCUGGUUACCUGCGCCAGGACGGAAAGACCCCAUGGAGCUUUACUCCAGCUUGAUACUGGGAUUCGGUAUUGCAUGUACAGGAUAGGUGGGAGGCUAAGAAGUGGUAACGCCAGUUGCCAUGGAGCCGCUGUUGGGAUACCACCCUUGCAGUACUGGGUUUCUAACCAGCAGCCGUGAUCCGGCUGGGGGACAAUGUCAGGUGGGGAGUUUGACUGGGGCGGUCGCCUCCGAAAGGGUAUCGGAGGCGCUCAAAGGU